AAGGAGAUAUGUGGUGGAAAAGUGAGAGCAGCAUAGGGUUUUGCUAGUUGACCUCCCUGAGACAGGGCUGAAGGCAGGAGUUCACGCUGAAAACGAUCCACAGAUGCUCUUCUCAGGGUCUCCCGCAAUGAGCCCAGAUUUACUGCCGCUGUCUAGCGCAGGAAUAAUGAGCCCUGUACAGCAGCUGCUCUCGCGGGGCAGGAGGUGGCCGUCUUGGGGCACAUUUUCCAUUACUCUGGAGCUACGUAACUGGAAACACAUUCCUGGGUCAAAGCCUCCUCCCGCACACAUGGUGUGACCCUGCUGAACUCCAGCAGAAUGGACCUGAGGGGCUGACUCCCAGGCUUAACUUCCACUGCGGAGUCGCGUGGCUUCCACAGCUGUUGAUGCACCAAGUCCUCCUGGCAGGGCUUCAAAGGAACCGAAACGUGGAACAGAUGCUCAGAGCAGCAGCAGCAGCAGCAGAAUCCCCAUCCCUGAGCCUCUGUGGUCACAUGGCAAUUUAAGGUGCGGUGUUGACAGAACGCAACAGCUUCAGGGCUGGAAUUUGCUCCAUUUAUUUUUAGUCACUGGUGAAGAAACACACGUUUUCUCGGCUCUUUGAAGCAGGAGCUCCAGUGGGGCAGCUUGGCUUGUUUGAAUCUGUCACACGGCAGCACUGCUAGGAGAGAAUGGGGGUGUGGGAGGGAACUUGUGCUAUUCCUAAUCAUGGUGCUACUUAUACUGGGGGGCCUGACCCUAUGCCCAGCUUGGUCUGCAGCAGACACAGGGCUCUGUGCCUCACUGGGUGAGGAACGGGCCCCUGUUUGCUCAGCUGGCCCCAGACUAGGAAGCGUCCCCCUCACUCCCACCCACCGGUCUGGUUGCGCCGAACAUGGGGAGCCCAGCAGCCAAGCAGGCCAAAGGCUGUCCUCACCUGCGUGCCAGCCCCCAGAUUGCUCUGCUCCACACUACCAGACAGGUCAGUCUGGCCAGGGCAGCACGACGCUCUCUGUGAGCGGGGCGAGGUGGCACCUUGCGGGGAUUGUUCCUCCCGGGCCGAAAUGCAAAUGCUUGC